UAGGGAAUAUUAGAAAUGGACGAAAGUCUGAUCUAGCAACACCGCGUGUGCGAAGAAGGCCUUCGGGUCGUAAAGCACUUUUUGGAAGGAAUAGGAAGGAAUGUACUUCCAGAAUAAGUCUCGGCUAACUACGUGCCAGCAGCCGCGGUAACACGUAGGAGGCAAACGUUAUCCGGAUUUACUGGGCGUAAAGCGCGUGUAGGUGGUACUGUAAGUAGGGCGUGAAAGCUCCUGGCUCAACUGGGAGAGGCCGUUCUAAACUACAGAGCUAGAGGAUGGUAGAGGGAGGCGGAAUUCCAGGUGUAGCGGUGGAAUGCGCAGAUAUCUGGAGGAACACCGGAGGCGAAGGCGGCCUCCUGGACCAUUCCUGACACUCAGACGCGAAAGCUAGGGUAGCAAACGG
rnacentral:rRNA from 1 species